rnacentral:rRNA from 1 species
UGUGUAGGCGGUUGGAUAAGUGUGGUGUGAAAUCUCCCGGCUCAACUGGGAGGGUGCGCUACAGACUGUCUGACUAGAGUAUGGGAUGGGAGAGUGGAAUUCCUGGUGUAGCGGUGAAAUGCGUAGAUAUCAGGAGGAACACCGGUGGUGUAGACGGCUCUCUGGACCAUUACUGACGCUGAGACACGAAAGCGUGGGUAGCAAACAGGAUUAGAUACCCUGGUAGUCCACGCCCUAAACGAUGCAUAUUUGGUGUGGGUCAUUCAUUUGAUCCGUGCCGGAGCUAACGCGUUAAAUAUGCCGCCUGGGGAGUACAGUCGCAAGGCUGAA